rnacentral:rRNA from 1 species
CAGCAGCCGCGGUAAUACGAAGGGUGCAAGCGUUAAUCGGAAUUACUGGGCGUAAAGCGUGCGUAGGCGGUGAGUUAAGUCUGCUGUGAAAUCCCCGGGCUCAACCUGGGAAUUGCAGUGGAUACUGGGUCACUAGAGUGUGGUAGAGGAUAGUGGAAUUUCCGGUGUAGCAGUGAAAUGCGUAGAGAUCGGAAGGAACAUCUGUGGCGAAGGCGACUAUCUGGGCCAACACUGACACUGAGGCACGAAAGCGUGGGGAGCAAACAGGAUUAGAUACCCCCGUAGUCCCUGUCUCUUAUAA